rnacentral:sRNA from 1 species
CUGCCUCGACCUGCUCAGGGGAGAUGAAGUGGAUAUGGGUAUCAAUAGCGCCGGCAGUGACAAUCUUGCCUUCGCCGCCGAUAACCUCGGUGCCAACACCAAUAAUGAUAUCGAUAUUGUCCAUAAUAUCGGGGUUACCGGCUUUGCCGAUCUUCAUAAUACGGCCGUCUUUAACAGCGAUAUCAGCGGAAUAAAUGCCGGUGUAGUCAAUAAUAGUGGUGUUGGUGAUAACCAGGUCGGGAACUUGGUCUGCGUCGACACGGGAGUUUUGUCCCAUGCCAUCGCGAAUAA